GCCGUUGUAGUAUAGUGGUAGUACGAAGCGUUGUGGCCGCUCAGACCGCGGUUCGAUUCCGCGCAACGGCA
rfam:Conidiobolus coronatus NRRL 28638 unplaced genomic scaffold CONCOscaffold_4, whole genome shotgun sequence.